rnacentral:rRNA from 1 species
GGUGUAUCUGUUGACUUACCAAGGUCAUGGCAGAGUAGCCAAGCCGGGAAGGGAUAAACGCUGAAGGCAUCUAAGCGUGAAGCCCCCCUCAAGAUGAGAUAUCCCUACGUAAAGUAGUAAGACCCCUUGAAGACGACGAGGUAGAUAGGGCAGAGGUGGAAGUGUGGUAACACAUGGAGCUGACUGUUACUAAUCGGUCGAGGGCAUAACCG